AUUUCGGAGCCACAGCUGAGGGCUGCGGAGCCUGGCCAGGGCCUGUUGUGUCUCAGCACGUCUGCCGUCUCUCUCGGCCGAAUAGCUGUUUACCUGAGGGGUCUUCACGAGCCAUCAGUUUGAUUUGUGGUGAGAGCGAAGGCUGCACACUAACCAUACACAUCUUGUCAGUGGUCUGUGGCUUUGGCUAGACCAUGAGGACCCAAACAGAGAUGGGCCGAGAGUCACUGGAAAAAAAGAUGUAGCGAACUUGAACGGGGGGAGACCAAACCAGCAGCUUGCCGAUAACGACGUGGCCCAACACCCAACAGGGAUGGCUCCGGAGGCCACCUUACAUAGCCCCAAGUGACAGGGCGAAGACACCGCACCGCAUGGUGCCCUCAGUCUCGCUGCCACCCUGCUCCAAUUGCUGCUGCCAUGAAAAGUAUCCACUUAUAAUAAACAGCAGCUGCAGAGGGUCUUUGCCAUGUUCCUGUGCAGAUUAACUGCUUGAGGAAAGUGGUCGCACAAAGUUCUGUCCUCAUAUUGGAUGCAGCCCUAGGAUGCAAGACGCAAAGGAUGUCAGGCAAAACUGCAAACCGCUCCCAGUUCAAAAGUACAUUUGAAUUUACAUUUAUUUAUGUAGCACGCUCUUUUUUUUCAAGGCUGACAUACGGUGAUUAUUAACUAGUAUUUAGGUGACAACUUUAUGCAAGAUGCCUUAAAAUUCACAGCGCUAAACUUCAGUCAUUUAUGAGUUUAUACAUCAGAGCA